AGUAACACGUGAGCAACCUGCCUUUCAGAGGGGGAUAACAGUUGGAAACGACUGCUAAUACCGCAUAACGCUGCGAUGGGGCAUCCCGAUGCAGCCAAAGGAGCAAUCCGCUGGAAGAUGGGCUCGCGGCCGAUUAGCUAGUUGGUGGGGCAACGGCCCACCAAGGCGACGAUCGGUAGCCGGACUGAGAGGGUGAACGGCCACAUUGGGACUGAGACACGGCCCAAACUCCUACGGAAGGCAGCAG
rnacentral:rRNA from 1 species